GUCCACGUGGCCCUUUGGUCCCAUCCGUCUUUCCAAGCCCUUAUUCUUGUGGAAUGGGACUGUCUACUCUGGGCCGCCUUCUAUUGGUGACACUUAGUCACCCUGUCUCCUCCGGAUUACCCAGAAGACAGUUUCUCAGAUGUUCCCCCCUUGACAUGUGUUCGGGGAGUCCUCGUCAGGGCCUGUGAGAUGCCCCUCCUCUGGGAUGGGCCUGCUUCUCUCCUGGUGAGCCGGGGGCACAGGUCUUUGGAGGAAGGCAAUGGGCAGAGUGGUAUGUUCACCACACCAUGUCAAGGGGGCAGCCUACCAACAGGACAAUUGCCAUCUGCUGGGGGCCUGGCAGAGGUGUCUCCCCUGGGAAGCCACGCCCUGCCCUCCCCACACUGCUCUGUGGAAGCCCACACUCACGGGCUGCGCCGGGGAGCCCUUCCUGGAGGCAUGCACAGAUUCACUUGGAGUUCUACCCGGACACUUGCCUCCUGCCACGUGCUCAUCUAUUUAUGUUAGCGUGGACUCGUGGGUAUCCAUUCUCCACUGGAGCUAAAUCUAGUACUCUGUUAUUUAUUUUGUGGUACCAUCUGUGCCAGCUCUGGCCGCUGGGAGCUUCUGUCUCACUGGCACCCGCGUCCUCUGACACACCCCCUCCCUUGGUGCUGGAGCUGCUCUUACUUCCUGGCUCUGAAGAAGCUGCAGGCUCAUCCUGUGCACUUCCUGGCCCAACCCUGGCCCCAGCCGUCCCCCCAGGGAGCCCUGGCUCCUGGCACUGGAGGACCUUGUUAGACACCCAGAUCUGGGUGCAGGUGUGGUUGUUGUUGCCGGGGUGCUGCACCUUCUGGGACCUCAGGGGACCGACCGAGUGAGGAAUUGUGUGUGUUG
rnacentral:lncRNA from 1 species